rnacentral:rRNA from 1 species
AUGGCGACAGAGGCGAGUGGAUCACGGGCGAACAACGUGGAAGAUCCAAGUGUGUUGCUGGAACGCCUGCAUCUGCAGGAUGAUGAGCGGGAUAAUCUUGUCUGGGCGGAGGAGGCGGAUGAUCCAGAGGAGAAACCGAAGUGGCUUGCGCUGGCUAGGGUUCUGACCACAAAAUCCUUUGGUCAGGGGGCCUUGAUCGCAGAUAUGAAAGAGGCAUGGAAUCCCGCGAGGGAUGUAGUCUGGAGAAGGAUAAAUUCCAACUUGUUCUCGAUACAGUUCAAUUGUCUGGCAGAUUGGAAUAAGGCGUUGCACCAGGGUCCUUGGGACUUUAAGGGGAUGGCUUUGAUCAUAGCAGAAUAUGAUGGUUUUAAGAACCCGGAAUCUGUCAAGUUGGACAAGAUCGAAACUUGGUGCCAGAUACAUAAGCUACCGGAUAUGGUCCUGAAGAGGGAACAGUUUGUGAAAAACAUGGCGCAACGCAUAGGCGAGGUCGUGGAGGUGCAGAUCGUUCUCCCUAAUGGUUUUAUUGGUGAGUUCAUCAGAGCCAAGGUAAAACUUGAUGUAUCCAAGAAAUUGAUGAGGUUUGUGGGUUUUACAAAAGGGGGCGAGACUGAGUAUUACCAAGUCAAGUUUGAAAAGCUCCCUGUGUUUUGCUUUAUGUGUGGCCUACUUGGUCAUUGGCAUGAGGAGUGUGGUUAG